GACGAACGCUGGCGGCGUGCCUAACACAUGCAAGUCGAACGGAAAGGCGCUGCUUUUGUUGGUUUCUCGAGUGGCGAACGCGUGAGUAACACGUGAGUAUCCUGCCCCUGUCUUUGUGAUAACUUCAGGAAACUGCGGCUAAUACCGCAUAGGAGCUCCUGCUGCAUGUUGGGCGUUGGAAAGUUUCGGCGGUUGUGGCUAGAUUCGCGGCUUAUCAGCUUGUUGGUGGGGUAGUGGCUUACCAAGGCUUUGACGGGUAGCCGGCCUGAGAGGGGGACCGGGCACCAUGCGACUGAGAGACGGACCAGACUCCAACGGGAGGCAGCAGUGGGGAAUAUUGCACAAUGGGCGGAAGCGUGAUGCAGCAACGCUGGGUGCGGGAUGACGGCCUUCGGGUUGUAAACAGCUUUCGCCUGUGACGAAGAGUGAGUGACGGUAAUGGGUAAAGAAGCACCGGCUAACUACGUG
rnacentral:rRNA from 1 species